rnacentral:rRNA from 1 species
UUUUCCGUAGGUGAACCUGC